UCUUCGUUUCGGUCCUGUUGAUCAAUGCCAAUUAAUCUAGCUAUUUUCAUUGUACCCAAUGCCAAUUAAUCUAGCUAUUUUCGUUGUACCCACGUGCCGAGAUCUGCACACACAGAAUUCGUGCUGAUUUGUUUAGGUGUGGCACGUAUCACAGCUACAACAGCAAUCUGGUAAUUAGUGCUCAAAUAAGGUACUUUUCUUCUCCCCUUUACAUAUCAUGGACAUAUGUGGUGGUUGCUUGACAUUGCUGAAGCGAGGACUCUAAAUGUAUUUUUCUGUUGUCCCUGAUUAUCUUAGUUAGGCCGUAUGUGUUCUGCUGGUCUAUUUUCAUUUGUCUACUUUUAUAGAAUUUCAAAGAUAUAAUUUCCUCUCAUGUAGUUGCCUCAUUCUUCAUAUAUAUACUAACCCUCUCCUAAAUGAUAGAUGAGGCAGGUGAUCUCUUUUAUUUUCCUUUCUGCAAAUUAGACCAAUAGUAUUUUAGUCAACUUCAGGGUAUGUUAAAUAUGACAGUUAAUGAAGAUGAUCGUUCUUUCUGUUAAGAGUACACAAUCUGACUCAUUUUAAAAUAGCAUCUUAUCUUUAUAAAAACACUAAGCUGCUACUUUAGCAAGUGUUUUACUUCAACAUAGAUUGCUGCAGGAAAGAAAGUUUUUUUUUUUGCAAUAAAGCAAUCAUUGAACGCACUGAAGUGUCCGAAGAAGAAGAGCUUGAAUUUUUUGCCAACGUAAAUUUAAGGUAACCUUAUUCAUGCAUAUGUUGUUCCUUUCAGCCAUUUGUAUCUAAAUAUCAAUACUCAUUUUGAACUAUAUGCUCAGGCCGGCCUUUUCGUUUGAUGUUAUUGGUGUGGUAUGUGUAUAAUUAUUAACAUGGUUGCGAUUUUAGUGAUAGCUCGUCACACAUUACAGAAACCUAUUUUCCAUUUUGUGGCUCUAUGCUCAUCUGUGCCUAGGUACAGCUAUAGCAUGGUGAAGGAACACUACAUGCAUUGAAGAAAGAAAGGAAGAAUGAUGGUUAGAACCACUGAGAUACUGAGUCCGGCCAACUAGAUGAGUGUCAGCAGCGUAAUUCUUCAUUGGAAGAGGACAAUAUCAGCCGGUUCAUUGAUCAAAGUGGUGGGAAGCUCCCGAAAACACCCUUUCCAAACAGAAUUUAUUUUUGAGAUCUCUUUAUUUUUCAUCAUUAUGAAGGUUGAUUUUACCUAUUUCACUUGAAUGGUGACCUUCCCACACUCCCAAUUUUUGCUUAGGAUUCUCGUUUAAAUGGUGAGCCCUCAGAUUCUGAAUGUCGGCUCUUUAGUACUGUUUAUUAUUUUAAGAAAAUAUGAGCAAUGUGAUUUUGUUCUCUAGAGACUGGAAUUGAAUAGUAGGUCCUUUUGGUAUUGUCCUCUUACCAUUUGUUCCUAACAGAUGCAUGGGUUUGACUAUGCAUUAUCAUGUGUUUUGUUUCAAAGGUAAUAUGCCCUAAAUCAUUUACUGAACUUUCAGUUCUUUUUUGGAACCAGGCGAGUAUAAACAAUUUGUUAUCUGCCAUCCUAAAUUGUUUCCCAUGCCAUCCAUGUAAGUUUUAGUACCUUUCCAUGUAGGUAGGGGUCGAUCAAGUGUGUGCAUUUCAUGACAUACUUUGUUUUGUUUCAAAGGUAAUACGCCCUAAAUCAUGUACUGAACUUUCAGUUCUUUUUCGGAACUAGGUGAGAAACAAUUUGUUAUCUGCCAUCCUGAAUUAUUUGCCAUGCCAUCCAUGUAAUUUUUAGUACAUUAUACUUAGUUUGGUGUAUGAGAGUAGUUUGUAACUGAAGGAAGAUUGACGCCAUGGCUGCAACCGGUUCAGUGACUAAGAUUAUUUCAGGAAUAAUGUACAUUUGGUGCUCCCUGCACUUAAUUUUGGACGUUGAAUACUACUCUUGCUUUGACAGCUCACUGAUUUUAUUAGGAAACCUUAUUUGUUAAUACUUUCUUGUCAAACUCAUAACAAGUUAUAAUAAUCAAACUAUAUAGUGAUGUUGAGGGAUUAACCAGGACAAAUGCUAGCCAACGUCCCAUUGAGUAGGCCUUCCCAGGCUCCUUGAGUAGCUGGCUCCACUGGGUACAUAGACGAUUACCUAAUGUGUGGUUUCUUUAAUCACCGAUCGGUUAUUGAGAAUCCGAAUCUGCGAUUAGUAUGCAGUAGUAAAGAGGUUUCUGUUUGCAAAAGAAAGCAAGUUUAUGUACUUUGUCGCCACUGCAAGCAUAGAAAAAUUGUUUAUGUUGUAUUGCUGGGAUAGAUAUGUCUUAUACGUUGUUUUGUUCUUAUAGUCACAGCCGAGAUAUUUGUGGUGCUUGAUUUCUUCCUAUGUAUUUGUUUUCUUUUUCGUGAUUUCCUAUAUAUUUGUUGUAUAAACUCAACCUAAUUAACGUGUGUAAUGAUGAAGCACGUGGGGUGCAGAUGAGGAUGAAAUGAGCCAGGGAGAAAUAUUGCUGGUAGAAAAACAGGCCUCCCAGGCCAUCCUGACCAAAAAUGUAUUCCCUGAUUUGGUUAAACAGUCAUGUAUUGGCCCCUGGCUGCCUCAAGUGGUGGAUGCCGCCGGCUGCCCAAUGACCAUCAACACAUAUGAGCUCGGUUUAAUCAGAGCUGAAAGAUUAGUGAGACUGACUAAAUUCUGGACAUGUUCCAUGUGAGAGAAAUAGCAUGUUGAUUUCAUCUUGAAAUAAUCAUAGCUGAGGGACGAGGUCCGUAACUGAGGGUCAUGUGCAGAGCUGGAGGAAGAAGUUGCGAGGCUUGGAACUCUGACAGCAGUGAGGACAAUGCCUCUUUAGUUGCAAUUGUGAUACUCCUGAUGUGCAAGUAAACACUCCUGUGACACUUCUUAUGCUAAAAUGUUGGUCGUUAGUACAGAGGUGGUAACAUUAUUUGGUUCUCUUAUAUUGAUUUCAUAAUACAUGAUGUAAUACAAUCCACAUUGCAUUAUAUUUUGAGUUAUAUCUCCUACUUACUCACUACUAACAUUCUUUCUAAUUCGCUUCUUGCGCCAUUGGCACAACCGGAUCAUCUAGUUUAACUUAUAAAGACGCUAGGAUAGCAGCCCCUCUCAGGCCAUGCACGCGGCCAGCAAAAAGACGCUAGGAUAGCAGCCCCUCUCAGGCCAUCCACGCGGCUAGCAAUUGCAAAUUGUGUCCAGUUUCACUUUGUUCCCUGCCUAGCCUCUGUCGCUGACGGGUGGGCCCUAGGGUCAUGGGUCCGUCGACGGGGAGCCUAUAGAGAGUCUCCCCUUUCCUUCCCCAAUCCACUGCCUCCUCUUCCCCUGACCCUCCCCCAAUCCCCGCCUCCUCUCCUCCUUCCCAGUCUGUCGCCUCUGCACCCUGGCCGUCGUCCCUGUCCCCAACUGGGCUGCCCAUGUAUGGCGACUGCUCAGCGCAGCACCACCCCGUCCUCCCUCGUCAGCCGCCGUCGGUCUUCUCGCUGGGAUGGAGGAGUAGGGGAUCCCGCCAGAUCCGACCUGCAGGCAAAUGGCGACGGCGGCGGCGACUGGAAUCCCUCAACGCCGGAGGAAGGCGUGCGACCGGCAAAGAAACCUGGUGAUGGAGCAGGAUGAGGUGGCGGUUCAAGUUCGGCGGCCUUCGCGUGUUGUGGUUGCAGGCGCUCCACUUCCUUUCCCCACUGCCCUGGUGAGUCGUCCUUGAUCUAAAUAUUUAAUCCCCGCACUGAUUUGUUUUUGUUAUACAGUAUGGGGGUCUGCAGAUUAUCCUUCCAAGGAGGUCACAAAGAGCAGCGACGACUUCUUGGUAAUCUGCGAUUGGCCACAAAGGAUGAGGUACAUGGAGAUUGCCAGCUACCUUCCAUUGGUGUAUAUGCAAGCUACAGAGAAAACCAAAUCUGCACCAUGCCGAUAUGCUUCAUGAUGAGUGUGCUUUUAGCAUCCUUCACCCUCUCAGAUGGCCAUUAGGUGCCGACCAAGAGGUGCAUCCCAUGAAUCAAACUGCAAUGGGGCAUACAAUAAUUAGGAGGGCAUGGCUAUCGCUGCGGAGCUACCCUCCCCCUCAAUCAUGCACUUGUGCUUUUCAAACGCAGUUCGCUGCUGCUGUUUAAUUAGCUCCUGCAUUAGCAGUGGAUUCAGAGUUUAUUCUUCAGCAGAUUCAAUUUGCAGGAGACUCCUGUUGCAGUUUGGUGACAUAGAUAAAAGAGGGCCAGCCACACCUUUGAAAUAAGCAGCGGCCAUCCAGUCCAGAACAGACUGAAUCUGCUCGGCAAAGUGUAAAAAGGAAAUUACUGCUCGGCAAAGUGUAAAAAAGGCCAGGCUAUCAUUUAUGUAGUUAUUUGGAAUGUCAGAUCCAAGAAAUAAGAUGAGAAGAGGAAUCUAGCAAAGGAAGGUGAAUAUUUUCUCUUGUGAAUACAACAAGAACUAAGGAAGUUGGAUGAGCUUAAAGCACCCAUUCAUCAGUUCACUGAACUUUUCUAAUUGUAUUUUAAAUCCACAAGAGGGCAAAAUCAUUGCUCUUUCCCAGAUUAUCUAAAUCAGAUGGGCGGGCUCCAAACUCCCAGUGCCAUUUGUCGUUUUUGUGUUUUGAUUUUUACUCGAGUGCCUUUGGAUCGAUGGCACUAUGGAGAGGUGACGUUAGAACGAUUGAUGGUUGCUUCUCUCCUGUAGAGUACAUCUCCUUCUAUAUGUCAAUAUAUCAACAAAACAAGAGAUCUAUAAUAUCAUUGUUUAUGGAGUUCACAGAUUAUUGAAGAUUUUUGCUGCCAUGGAAUUGUGAGUUUGUGACUAUACAUUCUUGUGUCCUACAUGUGAAUUGAAGAUAUAUUGUCUCUGUAUGUGAAUGUAAAUAUCCAGGUAAAUGUGAUGAUUCAUAAAUUAGUCGGUUGGAGAUCGGUAGACAGUCAGGUGUAUUGAUAACUGGAGUUUAGUGCUCAAAAUCCUUCUAACUUUUCCACAGACUGUAUUUUCUUGACAUUUAAGAGAAGAAUGAGUACUGUUAGUCAUUCUCUAUCAUGUAUAAUAGUACAAUAUUGGAGAUGUGAAUGGAAAUGUUCAUUUAGUACAGUAUUAGUAGAUGAUGAUUACUUUUCUUCGCAGUCAACUCGUGUAUUUCCUGAUAUGUUCAGUCUAUUCCCAAAUUAAUUCGUAAAGUAGCCUUAACAAUUAUACA